rnacentral:rRNA from 1 species
AGGAAGGUAGUGUAGUUAACACCUGCAUUAUUUGACGUUACCUACAGAAGAAGCACCGGCUAACUCCGUGCCAGCAGCCGCGGUAAUACGGAGGGUGCGAGCGUUAAUCGGAAUUACUGGGCGUAAAGCGCAUGCAGGCGGCCUGUUAAGUCAGAUGUGAAAGACCCGGGGCGUUAACCUCGGAAUUGCAUUUGUAAACUGGCAGGCUAGAGUCUUGUAGAGGGGGGUAGGAAUUUCAGGUGUAGCGGUGAAAUGCGUAGAGAUCUGAAGGAAUACCAGUGGCGAAGGCGGCCCCCUGGACAAAGACUGACGCUCAGAUGCGAAAGCGUGGGGAGCAAACAGGAUUAGAUACCCUGGUAG